UGUGUACAGGUUUUGGCUUGCUAUGAGAGAGUACUGACUACUUGUUACCCAGCAUUCCUCAAAAUGUUUCCAUUUUUUGGACGCUUCCUGGCAUUUGAAGUGCUGAAGACGGUUAAACGCAUCACAGUCACACCAAACAACAAUAAUUAUCCCAAUUGGAUUCUAAUUCAUAUCCCUCGAGUAAUGAUUCGAGAUCUACGCAUUUUUAUGGAUUCUAAAAUUGUUAAAGUCGCGCUUAAUGUCCUAGAAAAGAAAAGAAAAGAACGACAUGAUAUGGACGAAAAGGAACAAUUCAAUGAACGAAUCACCAAAAUGGAAAAUACAUUAGAGGAAAUAGCGGACAGAUUGAAUGACGUAUUGAAAAAAAUGGAGUGAAUGCAAUUAUGUUGGGUUUCAUUUUCACCGUUACAUGGAAUGUACAUGAAAUGUAAUAGGAUUAUUUUGAGCAUUUCCAUUCUAUACAAACGGCAAGAAGUUGCUAUCAUACAAACGAUACAAUAGUAUUCAAGCCAUCUCAUUGUUCCUGUUUUAUUUGAGUACUCCUACUUAUAUUUUUUAUCUAUGUAAAUAAACCACAAAAGAAAUAAGAUCGUA